AUUGAACGCUGGCGGCAGGCCUAACACAUGCAAGUCGAGCGAGCGGCGGACGGGUGAGUAAUGUAUGGGGACUGCCCGAUCACGGGGGAUAACUACUGGAAACGGACGCUAACUACGCAUACUAUCGGAUAACCCAUAUGGGAUUAGCUAGUAGGUGAGGUAAUGGCUCACCUAGGCGACGAUCCCUAGCUGGUCUGAGAGGAUGAUCAGCCACACUGGGACUGAGACACGGCCCAGACUCCUACGGAGGCAGCAGUGGGGAAUAUUGCACAAUGGGCGAAAGCCUGAUGCAGCCAUGCCGCGUGUAUGAAGAAGGCCCUAGGGUUGUAAAGUACUUUCAGUCGGGAGGCGUUACCGACAGAAGAAGCACCGGCUAACUACGUGCCAGCAGCCGCGGUAAUUC
rnacentral:rRNA from 1 species